AGUACGCUACGGCAGGCCCCAUACAUACAGUCGAGGGGCAGCAGGACACUUCGUCUGUUGCUGGCGACCGGCGCACGGGUGCGUAACACGUAUGUAAUCUGCCUUGUACUGGGGAAUAGCCCCUGGAAACGGGGAUUAAUACCCCAUAUUGUCUUAUCAGCGCACGCUGGCAAGAUGAAAGCUCCGGCGGUACAAGAUGAGCAUGCGUCCCAUUAGCUUGUUGGUGAGGUAAUAGCUCACCAAGGCUGCGAUGGGUAGGGGUUCUAAGAGGAAGAUCCCCCACACUGGCACUGAGAUACGGGCCAGACUCCUACGGGAGGCAGCAGUAGGGAAUAUUGGUCAAUGGGCGCAAGCCUGAACCAGCCAUGCCGCGUGCAGGAUGAAGGCCCUCAGGGUUGUAAACUGCUUUUGUAUGGGAAUAAAAAGCCCUUGAUGAGGGCUAUUGAACGGUACCAUAAGAAUAAGCACCGGCUAACUCCGUGCCACCAGCCGCGGUAAUACGGAGGGU
rnacentral:rRNA from 1 species